CCUCGUCUGGUCGGUCUCUCAUCUCUCAGUGAGCAUCACGCGCGCCGGUACAAAGUUAAAGUUUACACACACGCGAGAACAUGCACAACCUUCGUAGUACUUAACGGAUCCCGGGUUUGUCAACCCACUUUUGAGCCAAGGGAAAAAUCAAUACAUUUCAAGGCCCUUUCAUUGGCGCAGACCCAGACCCAUACCCAGACGGAGCUGAAGAUAAUCCCAACCAAAAACUUAAACCGAUUAUAAGUAACGCUCGAAGAGAAUGAAAUAACUUCUUAUCGGGAAACGGCCGGGGGCCAAUGUUCCAAGGUUUCCGAAAACUGGGAACUUUGAGCUGUCGCAGUCGAUAAUAAUUAGCAAGAAUUCUCGGCAAUAAAAAAGCAAGAAAAUAUAUAAAAUAACAAAAGCGGGAAACACACAGUGCUGCGACCUCGAAAACACGUUUUGCUUUUCGCAAGGACAUCUGUUCACAUCUUACCGGGCAGCAUUAGAUCCUUUAGAUACCUCUAAUACUGUCAGGUAAAGAUGUCGUCCGUGUCCUUAUCCAUCAUAAAUCGCAAGAAAAGCAAACAAGGCGUAAAAAACUAGUUUUUUCAAUUGUGCGUGUAGAAGCCCGAAAAAGAGAUCACAGCGGAAGGAAGGAUGGAGAAGAGCACGACAGACCGAAGAGCGAGAGAGAGCUGCUGGAUGUCGAUGUGGAUAAAUGAACAGGCGGCGGCAGAGAAAUGGUCAUAAAUUCUUUUUUUUUUGCAGCAUCAGCAGCAGAAACGACAAGACGCUACGCUACGCGACGCGUUUUGGGAUGACAUCAGUAAGAGACAGAAAGAGAGAUAGAGAGCGAGAAAAAUCUGUACUCGGCCCCUCUUCUGUUCGACGGUCGACCGGCGCCGCCCAUGGGCGAGUGGUGGGGAGGGAACGGAGAGUGUGUGUGCAGGUAAACCUUAUAGAAAGACGACAAAGCGGACGGAGGAACGGGCAGAAGAGGAACCAAUAAAAAAUAUAUUUUAUGGUUCCGCUGCUUCUUUUCGUCUUGCGUUUCGUUUCUUAAUUUCUUCUUUUCAGCAUUUUAGUGACAAAAAUUCACUUUUUAUGAUGCCAUCCCUCCCGCUUUACUCCUCCUCUCCACCUGUUCCGCGAUUUACGAUUAUAGCUAACUAUCCGCAGCAUCAGGUUGGGUUUCGUUUUUUUUUGUUUUUUUCCUAUCUCUGUUAAAUGUUCAUAAUCCGAAAUUAUAGAAAUGUGAAACCAGAGAAACUGUUCGGACGAAAUCUUCCAAAAUGGAAACAAAUUAAAUGCUUACAAAUUGCAGAAACGUGAUCGUAUCGAAGAGCAAAGCUCGGUUUAUAUGGGCACAUUUCAAUGGUUUAUGGUUGGCAUAAUCGUGCGGAACUUUAACAUAUGAUUUUAAAAUCGGUCGUACCUGUUCAGAUAAUUUUGCAGAUUGGAUUAUACAUUUAUUUAGGCAUAAAGAAGCUGUUGCCUCGUUUGGUCAGUUCUUGGGUAUUUUCCCUUUUGUGCUCGUCUUCUUCUGCUUGCAAUUCUUUGCAUUUUCUGAUAAGGUGGAGCUUUGGAUGCUGAUCUGCACUCACUCUAUUCUCUCUCUUCACACUCUCUCACAACACUUACCGUACAAAUUGUGCUGUGUGUGUGUACCAAACACAACUGAGACUAUUGUCAAGAGUGACCGACCAGAGUAACGUGUCUAUGCGGGCUCUGAGGGGGAAACGCUUAGUGGGGGAGGGGAGAUAUAUGACCCACAAACACACUCGUAAUGCACACCAAGGAAUAGGGAUCGUAAAAGCGUUUACAGGCUUUUAAAUUUUACUGUUUCUUGGCACAGUGGUACUCACUUUUAAUUCAGUUGGUGUUGCUUGGUUGCUUGGCAGGUCCCCCCCUGUGGCAAGAGGGGUUAAUCUAAUCAGGAAAACAAAAAAUGCGUUAGCUGCGGUCGACUGCUGGAAACGAUACCCAAUGGCGGAACCAAACGAAACGAAACGACCAACGUAACCAGAACGAAUAUAAGACCUGCUAAUGAACUUAGAAGCGACUCCAAGGAAAUACAUGGAGACAUGUACUGGCUCCUCUGUUAAGACAUGUAUGCUCCCCUUUUGGAGUCUUCAAAUUAAAGAUUAUAUAAACCAAUUAAAUCAGUGGGAGUCUUUAGAUUAAGCUUCCUUCCGAUAAUGCAUUAGAUAUGUUAGAUCCCCUAAUUUCUGUAAGAAUUUACCUCGACCUUGUGCAAGGUGACUGACUACUGGCUUUCAUUUUUCGCACAUAUUUUCGUACAUACAGAUAGCAUCUAUACAUAAUAAAUCUAUUGUCAGCACACAGACACGCUGGCCAAGAACUGAACGAUUCUUGCUAUUUCAUAAUUCGUUUGAGAAUAUUCGAAGCGGUCUAACGGUCAGAAAAAGGUGCCAAGUCAGCGGCAAUCGUGCGACAAUUUCACAAGCAACACAAUCAUCGGCCAAUCUAAAAAAUUAAAUCAGGCAAUACGCGAUAGGACAGGGCAGGGCCGGGCUGGGCAUGGCCGCACUUCAAGUCCUCAGGCCGAGUGCUAAUCGAAACAGCGACCAGAACACUUGUGGUAUCCACACCCGAACACAUGGCCAUACACAUGAUAAUGUCACAUUUACACACCAUCCCAAAGCCACUCUCCCGCUGAAAACCAAUAACGAUCGAUUCAAAGUCAAACAAAGCCAAACCAUUCCAACCAACAAAUCCCAUUGACAGUCAAUAUGCCCGAGGGGAAACUGCUGAAAUGAGGCUCAUAUCGCUGCAUAUCUCACAUCUGACAUCUGAUUUGGGUUUUCGGGGGAGUUGCUGCAGCUGCAUGUGGCAGGGGAGAACACAUAGAACACUUGAACGAACUGAUUUGAGAGCCCUAUGACUAUUGACCAAUUGUAAUCAUCUUUGAGACCCAUAAAUCCGUCUUUUCGAUCGGUUCGAGGCAAUUUCACUAUCUUGCAGCAGUUGAAGAAAUGUCCAAAGCGUCGUCAGAGUGGAGAAUUGUAGUGUGUUGAGGAGCAGUAUCUAAUCGGCGCCUGAGGAUAGAGUAUCUAAUCAUGAACGGCGGACGGACCACAAGUGCGUGUGGAGAGUAUCUAGUCGUGUGUUGGUGUGUGUGUUGAGUCUAAGACCACGCUAGUGGGGAGCCUGCACUAACUAUAUACAUAUAUACAUAUCUUGACGAUUAGAUCCAGCAAUUCCGAGGAAAAAAAAUAUAAAGAUUGUGUGAAAUAAGAGUAGAUCCAAUAGCUGGAAUACGGAAAUAAAGCAACUAAAUUCGAUAACUGACUAACACUCAUAACUGUCUGCUGGCACAGUCCCUCUCGUCCACUGCCCACCGUAUCUCGCCAAGCAACAGAGAGCGAAAAGAUACGAGUACACCAGAGGCGCUGCCACUGGAAUGAGCUCCAAUCAAAAUAUUGAGCAUGAUUUAUAAGUGACGGACGGGGUGUAAUAUAAUAUGACUUGACAUGAUAAUAGAGCGAAGCCAAAAGGAAAACGAAGGAAAAUAACAGAAAAGAAAAGCAAAACAUGAUCGCGAUGAAGCUGCAGCAGCAAAGGAAGGCCAGUGGGGGGAAGGGCGCAAUGAAUGGGCGUAAAUCAAUUAAAGGCUAACAAAGCAAUCAAGCUCUAGAUUCAUAUGAAACGGGAAUGGGAAUGGGAAUGGAAAUGGAAAUGGGAACGGGAGCUUGUACCGACCCGAGCGAGUCAUGCUCCGUCACUCCUUGACUGGAUUGUGUCACAGCAAAGAGUUAAAGUGCCCCAAAAAUGCAUUCGACAGCCGCAGUCGGACUGGACUUCAGCACUUCAUCAACGAACGCGUCUUCGGGUUGUGCGCAGUGUGUACCCCUAAUGAAGCAAACUUGCAUGCAAAUGUUAAUUGACCACUUAAGUUAAAACUUCAUAAUGAUCGUUAAUAAUACCGAGCGAUCUUUACAGAAAAGAGAAGAAAGAGAAGGAGCGGGCAGAAGGUUGACUGAACGGCGACGACGACGACAAACUGUAAGCCAAAAGAACAGGUUCAAAACCUUAACUAGCCAAGUCGAAAACUCGUAAAAGAUAUGCAACACACACACACACACACACAGACACAGCGGUCCGGCAUUCAUUCGACUAUAAGUAGUCACCUUCCAGAGCUGGUGCUGAUGAUGCCGAGCAUGUGGGAAAGCUGAGGCAGGCCCCUUUGAGCUUCAGGCUCUUAACUGUCCGUUAAUGAUCUUUUCUGCUAGCUCAUUUAGUCAGCAUCAACUUACAGGCAGACAUACGAGUGUGUGUGUGUGUGUACCCACAAGACGAGCAUUUUUUCUGGGUUCUAGCGAAAUUGAGAACCAAAUUUGACAAGUAAUUGGAACAAUUUAAUUUUGAAAAUUUCACACGAACGAGGUUUAAAAGAUGGAUUAGCUUCCACUCAAGUACUUAUUUUAUCAUUAGUUUAUGACUGUAAGCGGAUCUUAGGAAAUUCAAUUAACUGUAUAGGGGUUCUAUUUAGAGCAGUAACUGAAAAACAUAAAAACUAUUAUCUCAAAUUGAUCAAACACUGGUACAGGUACAGGUACAGGUACAGCUAAGUGGUGCAGAGAGUAUGGGAAGAGAAAUGCAUGCUCAUGGCUCAUAAUCAAGGGCCAUGAAAGCUGUUUCCUGCCCAAGAUGAUUGCAUUGAUUGCCCCCAAACUGGAAUGGGAAUUGGACCAAAUGGGCAAGGAAGAAAAGGAAGGAGUCGCGUUUCUGACUCGUGCCGCUGCUAAGAGAAUGCGCAUGGAGUGAAUGCCGGCCUAGCGAAACUAACACUGCUGGAACACUCACUCUCUUGGCCACAGGUAAUUGAACGUUCUUACCCCACACCACACACACACACACACACACACACACACACACACACACACACACAACGUGGAGUGGUGGAGCUACUGUGUGCAGCAUAGCCGUGGCUCCAUGACACGCCUGCUCUUUAGCGCUGGCCCUGGGAGGGGCCUAGGACUGGGACUGGGCAUGCGGACUGCAUCGCAUCGCUCCGCUGAUUCAGCAUCGUCGCUGGGGUGCAUCAAAUUAGCAUUGUUCCCAGAGUCAGUGAGCUUUUUGGCCCUGGAAAGAGGGCUCUACCGCGAGACUGUACUUGCAAUGCAAGAAUAACCUUUAAUUGGAUUGAGGAAUUUCAAAUAAAUAUAAAAAUGUUUGUCAUUCAUCAAAAUA